AUGCCACGGUGUGGACAUUAUUUUUGCAAAUAUUUAUAUCUCUGCCAGGCCUCAUAAAGGGAUUCCAAUUCAUUUUGUCAGCAAUCAGAUAUCUCAUUUCUGAAUUU